rnacentral:misc_RNA from 1 species
UACGGAGGGGGCUAGCGUUGUUCGGAAUUACUGGGCGUAAAGCGCACGUAGGCGGGUGUGUAAGUCGAUUGUGAAAGCCCCAGGCUCAACCUGGGAAUUGCAGUCGAAACUGCAUAUCUUGAAUGCCCGAGAGGAUGGGAGAAUUCCUGGUGUAGAAGUGAAAUUCGUAGAUAUCAGGAGGAAUACCAGAGGCGAAGGCGCCUAUCUGGCGGUGCAUUGACGCUGAGGUGCGAAAGCGUGGGGAGCAAACAGG